UACAAUUACACACCGGGCCAGCCACACCCACCACCUCCACUGGGACAUCAUACCGCUCGGGCUCUAGCACCAGCGUUACCACACCUUUACCAGCAACAGACUUCGCUCCAGUGACCUGUCUGUCAAAUGACUACCAAGGAAGACAUCAGAUUUCCAAAGAGGAGCUUGAACAUGUUCUUUCACUGAAAACCACCUUUACAGAAGCGGCAUCUAUUCUUUCAAUCUCAAGGCCAACUUUCUACAAGUUACUGCAAGACCAUAAUAUCCCAACAUCAAAAUUUAAGAGCAUCAGUGAUCAACAGUUGGAUCUUGAAGUGUCACACAUAAAAACUGAACACCCAAAUGUUGGAGAAGUGAUGCUUAUGGGGCAUCUCCGCUCCAAAAACAUUGUGGUUCAAAGACAACGUGUAAGAGAUUCACUGCGAAGAAUGGACCCAAUUGGUGUCCUAGCCAGGAGAAGAACAGCAAUAGCUCGGCGAGUAUACUCUGUCCCCCAUCCAAAUUUCAUAUGGCAUGUAGAUGGAAAUCAUAAGUUGAUUAGGUGGAAAUUAGUUGUUCAUGGUGCCAUAGACGGCUACAGUAGGAUGUUGAUGUUUCUUCACUGCUCCAACAAUAAUCGUGCUGAAACUGUUAAAGACCUCUUUACUGCAGCUGUUGGACAGUUUGGCAGACCACUGCACAUCAGGACUGAUCACGGAGGAGAAAACGUUCAAAUUUGGGAGGACAUGCAUGCGAGCAGGGGGAAGGCUCUGUAUUAACAGGAAGUUCUGUACACAACCAGAGGAUAGAGCGUUUUAAUCGAGACUUGAACAAAAACUGCAGCCAUGUUUAUGCACCCAUUUUUUAUGAACUGGAAUCCCUGGGUAUCCUAGACAUUGACAAUGCAACAGACCUAUUUUGUCUCCAUUAUGUCUUUCUACCCCGAAUCAACCGCACUUUGGAGGAAUUCAAAGCUGGAUUUAACAAUCACUCUAUAUCAUCUGAAGGAAAUAGAACACCAGUUCAGCUUUUUACUCUGGACAAUGAUUUGCCUCAUUUUCACAACCCAGAACUCUCAACAGCAGGGUAGUUUUUUGUUCCUCACCAAACUAUCAAAGAGGAUUUUCCCCAUUGAAUGAUAGGGAUUUGCAAGAACUGAAUGAUGCCUUUAACCCUCUUCAAAAUGACAACAACAAUGGCAAAACAUUGUUUCAGAGAACACAACAGUUUAUUUUUGAUAAACUCGUAAAUGCGUGACUACUCAUAACAUGGACAACUAGGUAACACUAGCCUUUUUGUACAUUCAAAAGUACACAACACAAAUAUUGAUGUUUUGUUGUGCUUCUUGAACUACAAGAUUUAAAACCUCUUGCCAGCAUAUAGAUGUUUGAAAAUUACAUGACGGCACAUACUUGAUGUCAGUGUUAAAAAGGCUACAGACGCACUUUUGCAUCUGUUAGUUUUCUGUCAAGUCAAAAGCAAUGGGAGUGUGGAUAAAAACAAGAUGACUCAUGUUAUGUGAAAGAACAGUAAAAUACUUUUUAGGGCUCUACAGAUUGUCUACAGACAGUAUUGAUACAUAACUGAUUUCCACUACAUUGUUCCUGUUUUUUAAAGUACCUAAAUAUGCAAAGUAAAAGUACUCAAUGAAGUAAAACAAUA